AAAUGUGAGUUCAGGAAACGAAACUGUCAACAGCUCAUUAAUACGCUCAGGACUUACGCGGUAAAACUCGGAAUAGAGUCGAAAGGGAUAGCGGUAGCAAUUCUAGCGCUAAUACCAACUUUAACGAGGGAAAGACUGUAAUUGAAAGAAAAGUCAGUAGAAGACCAGGUUUGGCGAGCCGCAAAGUUGGGCGCUCUAUCAGCUAGUAGGUAGGGUCUUUGCCUACCCAGGCGAUCACGGAUAACGGGUGGUUAUCGUCAGACUGCCGGAGAUUGUGCCUCAGAGAUAGCAAAAAUUCCCACGGGAAGCAGCAGGCGCGAAACUUACCCACUCGUCACAGACGGAGGUGGUAACGGCCAAUCCCAGUAUGUCGCAAGACUGCGGGGAAGACUCACACAAAGCGAGUGUGGGGAAAGCAAGGAGAGGGCCAGUUCUGGUGCCAGCAGCUGCGGUAAUUCCAGCUCUUCAAAGCUACCCCCAGUGUUACACUUAAAACGCCCGUAGUCAGAGUUAGUAGCAUGCAAAUGCGCUCACGGUGAAUAAAUCAGGAUGCUUAGAGUAGUUCACAACUGAAUGACUGAGCACCGCCUGAGGUUUUUACCCAUCAGGGUAAGAUCAAAGAGAGCCAGCGAGGCUAGGUCUAUUCAAUGGCGAGCGGCGGAAUGUGUUGACCCAUUGGAGAGAAGCGAACGCGAAGGCACCUAGCAAGAGGGUUUCUGUCGAUCAAGGGCGAGAGCCGCAGGAUCGAACCCGAUUAGACACCGGGGUAGUUGCGACCUUAAACGAUGCCAACAGCGCCGGAUCUGAAGAAGGUCGGGCGACAGGGGAAACCUCUAGUCUUUGGGCUGUGGGGGAACUACGACCGCAAGGCUGAAACUUGAAGGAAUUGACGGAAGGGUGCACAAGAUGUGGAGACUGUGGCCCAAUUUGACUCAACACGGGGAAACUUUCCCGAACCUGAGAGUCUUAAUGACUGACCAGCUGAAGACUGUUCAGGAUAUGCUUUUUGGUGGUGCAUGGCCGUUGGUGGUGCGUGAAAUGAUUUGUCUAAAGUCGAUUCAGCUAACGAGCGAGACUACCACCGUUUAUCGCGAGUCUUAACUGAAAGGUUAAAACAGGCACUAAACGGGACUCCCGGCGUCGAAGCCGGCGGAAGAGGGUAGCAAUAACAGGUCCGUGAUGUCCUUUAGAUGCUCGGGGCUGCACGCGUUCUACACUGCUAGGCAGAAAGAGUAGCAAAGUUGAGAAACUGAGCAACACUCUGAAAGCCUAGCGUGGUUGGGAUUGACGCUUGACAUUAGCGUCAUGAACUAGGAAUAUCUUGUAAGCGUGUGUCAACAUCGCACGCUGAAUAUGUCCCCACCCUUUGUACACACCGCCCGUCGCUCCUACCGAUUGGGUGAGCCGGUGAACGCGCUGGAGAUUCGUCAAAGGCGUGUGAACCUGCUGAUUUA
rnacentral:rRNA from 1 species